ACGAUUCUCGGCGCGCCCCGGACCCAGGGCACGUCGGGAUCACCCUCGCGCCCCCUCCCCUCCGCCUGCGGGCCGGAGCCCGACACCCCCCGGAGCGCCCUGCAGGCCGCCGCGAGCUGCACCCCGCCGUCCUCGCCCCGUCCCCCUCCAACUAGGUGCAGGGACCCGGGGAGGCGCGCGAGGACCGACCGGUCACCGCUGAAAUUACCUCAUCGCUUCAGCUCCCCGCCCCUUUCCCAAACCUGGAAGAAGCGUCCCUCCGGCCGGAGGCGCCCCCCCCGCCCCCCGCUCGCCAGCCGGUCGCGGGCCGCGCGCCGCCUCCCGGGGCCGCCUCCCCGGGCCGCGCGCAGCCAAGGGUUAAGGGCGCCGGCCGGGCCGUCCGCCGCGCCGUGCGCUCGCGCUGCUCCGAGCCGCCCGCCGCCCGCCGCCCGCCGCCGCGGGGCCCCCCCCCGCCACCCCCCCACCCCCCACCCCCCACCCCCAAGUCGGAUCCUUGAGCUGCGGCGGCGGCAGCCAACUGCUCCAUAUUUGGCUUCUAUUACACAUUUACAUACUGGAGCGAGCGAGCGAGCGAGCGAGCGCGAGAGAGCGCGAGGGAGGGAGGGCGGGCGGGCGGAGGGAGGAGGGAGGGGAGGGGAGCGGGGGGGUCGGAGGAGGAGGAGGGCGAGGAGGAGGAGGAGGAGGAGGACGAGGAGGAGGAGGAGGAGGACGGGGAGGAGGAGGAGGAGGAGAGAGCAGAGUGUACCGCAGACAUCAUUUCUACUACAGUGGCGGAGCCGUACAGGACCUGUUUCACUGCAGGGGGAUCACAAAACAAGCCCCGCGGAGCAGCCGCCAGAGCUACAGCAGCCGCAAGACACUGUUUCUCUCCCUCUGCCCCCCCUUCCCCACGCAACCCCAGAUCCAUUUACACUUUACAGAGCAUCGUGCAGCAGCCAGUCCCCAGGGUGGUCCGUUCAAGCUGCGGAUUUGUUUGCCAUCACUCUAAGACAAUCUCCUCCUCCACGGCCACUCCAGGGAAGUGCAUCACAAAUCAGUUAUCCUAUUUCUGCUGAAGGUAUUUGUUGGAAGGGCUAAACGAGGUAAAACAUGUAAAAUACAUGACAUAUCCUGGUACGGAAGUGAUCAUUUAAAAAACUGAAUGCUGGGACACCUGCGUGGCUCAGCGGUUAAGCAUCUGCCUUCGGCUCAGGGCGUGAUCCUGGAGACCUGAGAUCCGGCUUCCUGCAUGGAGCCUGCUUCUCCCUCUGCCUGUGUCUUUGACUCUCUUUAUGUAUCUGUCACGAACAAAUAAAUUAAAAAAUCUAAAAAAUAAAAAAUAAAAUAAAAUAAACUGAAUGCUGAUUUCCACAUUUCUGUCUCAGAUGACGGUAUGAAUGGGCGUAGAACGCGGCAGGUGAUCCAGGACAAAGAAAUGUUUUCGUUGUUUUUGCAUUGCAGAGCAGGGGAUCAUGUAAUUAUUUUAUUUUAUUCCUUGUCAUCUUAAACUUGGAUUGCUGAUGGGAACAUCUAGGUAGCAGAUAAUUGGGUAUAUACUUCUAGAGUUGAUAGGAGACAAAGAUUUGGGAAUAGUCAGUAAAACUGUAGGAGGUCUUUCAACAGGACUCAACAGAGAAUGAAAGAGAAGAGAUCCCUGAGAAAACAUUUAUAGGUUGGAUUUGGAAGAAGAUCCAUCAGAGAAAAUUAGGAGGCCUGGAUUCUUGUCCCAGUUCUGACACUAACUGGUUUUCUUAACCUUUUAAGAAACACUUAAUCCUUUCAGGGGCUUCUCUUUCUUUUGAGCUUCACUGUCUCUCUUCAUCCCCCUCCCCCUUCUUCCUUCCUUCCUUCCCUCCCUGAAUUCUUCAUUAAUUUGACAAAUAUUUCAUGAAUGCCUGCACAGAAUACAGAAUCACAGAGAAGGGCCUCUAAAUCAGAAUGACGUGGGGAUAAAGGAAGUCAGGGGAGGCUUGCAGAAUGCAUGUCCUUCAAACCGAGCUUUUGGGAAUGAGGAGUAGUUCAGACAAGCAGGUGCAAGGAGAGACAAAGACAAGUGCAGAAUGGCGCAUGCAUGGGCACACAGAAGAGCAAUGAGCAGGUCAGGGAGGCAGGCCUGAUGGCACUGGAAAGCUUCAAGCCUGGAUCAGGAAGGGGCUUCUUGUGCCAAACCCAGGAACCUGGCUUUUACCCGGAAUGUGAAGCAAACCCCAAACCCACUGAAGGAUGUGAGGCAGGGAUAUGAGAAGUCAGGUGUGUGUUUUAAAAACCUCAUUUUUUUCUAGUGCGAUGCAGGUGGCAUAAAAAGGGACCAGGUGGUGGGCAGGGAGACCAGAGAGGAAACAGUUAGAGAAAUUCAGGUGGUGACAGAGGAAUGUUUGUUUAACCACCGUGGAGCACCUGCUUCAUGCUAAUCAUUGGUCUGUGUGCUCUGGAUCCCGCACGGACCAGGAGACUCAGCCCCCUUGUUCUCGGGGAGCGUGGAAUGACAGUGGAAAUGACAGGACCAGGCUGGAGACAGCAGAUUGGAGGGCUGUUAACGAGGCAGAAUCUAAGGACUUGAAGGUGAGUGAGAGGAUGGGGUUUCUGCUUUGGAUAAGUGGGUGAACAGUGAUACCACUCAUUACAUUGGGGAACCCAGCAGAAGAACUAAGGAGGGCCUCCAGGUGGAGGUGUCCAGCACGUACUUGGAUAAACAGCUCUAGACCUCAGAGGGGGGCCUCUGCAGCUUAUGUGUUUGCUACAUCAAAGAAUUGUACUAGGUGUUUAACUUACGUGAUUUUAUUCAGUUCCAUGAUUGAAUUUCAGUGACCUCCUCUGGCAGUUGCUUCACUGAGGACCAAGUGCCUUCUGCAUCUCCCCAGAACCUCGUGUGGGGCUGGGCAACACAGUUGGGGUUCUAAUUGUUUUAGGUGGAGCUGAGAGCCAGUGGCACUGCCUUCACUCUGUGCUGAUUGCUGCUUCCCCCUAACCCCUCCAGUCCACCUUGACUUCGGCCUGCUGUGUAAAUGGCCUGGGGCAGUUGUACCAUAUUCAGAUCACACGUGCUCAUGGAGUGCUCCAGCUUAUAGGGCUUCAAGGAUGGUUUGGGUCCUACUGUGUACAUUUUACAGAGAGAAGACGCCUAGUGGCAGGUCAUGAGGUUUCCAAAAUUCUAGCGGGGCCGAGAUUAGAUCUAAUUCAGUAGACCCUUUGGCACUGCCUCCCCUCCCCCUCCCUUAUUUACACUGGGGUCCUUGUAGGGUGAUUUCUUAGGUAUGUAUUUGUGCAGAAUCUGGAAAUGACUAAGCCUGUGUGUGUGGCUUUGAGACUUGGUGGCAAGAUCACCGAGAAGCUUUGGAUGCCUUCAGCUCUACCGUAGGGGGACGAUGCCCUUGGUGCCAUGCGUGGAUUCAGGCAGCUGUCUGCCCGCACGCCCUUGUGUGGGGUGCCCUCAGGAGGCUCCCCGUCAGGAAUCAUUUAACCCAGGUGUGGAGUCACACUGCUCUGAGCCUUCAAAGAAAAAGUAAAAAGUACAGAAAUGACCUGCCUGAGUGUGAGAAGCACUUCUCGCUGGUAAGAGUUUCAAGUGCGAGAGAAAGAGACGUGUUGAAAGGACAUUUACUUUCAUCAGCUUAGAGCAUCUGCUUUUUAUUCUUUAAAAGGAAGCAACACCUCAAAUUACAGCAGUCCCUCGGCAAGCAAGCACUUGAGAUUUUGAUCUCUGCAGAUUCUUCGAGGGAGUGUCUCACAGAGCUUUUAGGCGGGAUCUGUAGCUCUUGACAGAGGCGGUAGGAUGAGUUUUUGUGGGGAAGGGGAGUGGGCAGGGAAGACACAGUCCUCUGUGAAACAGCGCACGAGCCAUUUCUCUCCUGCCUGGGUGGAAGUGGAAACCGUGCUCAGCAGACCCUAGAGACCAAAUUAAAAUAGAUAAGAAAUGAACACUAAACACCAUGUUUUAAAAAAAAUUUUUUAGGUUUUUUUUUUAAGAUUUUAUUUAUUCAUGAAGACACACAGAGAGAGGCAGAGACAUAGGCAGAGGGAGAAGCAGGCUCCCUGUGGGGAGCCCAAUGCGGAACUCGAUCCUGGGACCCCAAGCAGAUGCUCAACCACUGAGCCACCCAGGUGCCCCCCUCUUUUUUUCGUUUUUAAUGCAGUGCCCACUUCAGAGCA
rnacentral:lncRNA from 1 species